rnacentral:rRNA from 1 species
AUUGAACGCUGGCGGCAGGCCUAACACAUGCAAGUCGAACGGUAACGGGAAACAGCUUGCUGUUUCGCUGACGAGUGGCGGACGGGUGAGUAAUGUCUGGGAAACUGCCUGAUGGAGGGGGAUAACUACUGGAAACGGUAGCUAAUACCGCAUAACGUCGCAAGACCAAAGAGGGGGACCUUCGGGCCCCUUGCCAUCGGAUGUGCCCAGAUGGGAUUAGCUAGUAGGUGGGGUAACGGCUCACCUAGGCGACGAUCCCUAGCUGGUCUGAGAGGAUGACCAGCCACACUGGAACUGAGACACGGUCCAGACUCCUACGGGAGGCAGCAGUGGGGAAUAUUGCACAAUGGGCGCAAGCCUGAUGCAGCCAUGCCGCGUGUAUGAAGAAGGCCUUCGGGUUGUAAAGUACUUUCAGCGGGGAGGAAGGGAGUAAAGUUAAUACCUUUACUCAUUGACGUUACCCGCAGAAGAAGCACCGGCUAACUCCGUG